rnacentral:rRNA from 1 species
UACGUAGGGGGCUAGCGUUGUCCGGAAUCAUUGGGCGUAAAGAGCGUGUAGGCGGUCCGGUAAGUCCGCUGUGAAAGUCAGGGGCUCAACCCUCGAAUGCCGGUGGAUACUGUCGGACUAGAGUACGGAAGAGGCGAGUGGAAUUCCUGGUGUAGCGGUGAAAUGCGCAGAUAUCAGGAGGAACACCGGUGGCGAAGGCGGCUUGCUGGGCCUUACCUGACGCUGAGGCACGAAAGCGUGGGGAGCAAACAGG